AUGCAAACAUAGCAAACUCAAUUUCUAUAGUCUCUAAAAUAUAGGAAACCCAAAAUUUUCUAACGAGUGCACUUGCCUGGAGUUACCCACUGAACUUCUUGACUGACAUUGGUUCUCCGGUUUUUAUUUACACAACCAACUCCCUUUUUUUUAUAAGUGAACUGAUGGAAAACUUGACGGUGCACUUAUGUAUUUUGUUCAAGAUGAACGGAGGGAGCAAAAAACCUACAAAGGUGUACGCAUAUAUAGCAAAUCCUAUAAAACACAUUUGGUUUGCUUCAUGUAGAUCAGCAAUGAAGUGAGAUCGAGAGAAAAAGGAAGGUUGGGGUGCUGACCAUUAGUGUCGGCGGAAGAAUUGCAAGCAGAGCCGGGGAGCAGAAUCAGAGGAGCGGCGGCGCGUCGGGUCCCUGGGCGGCGGCGGGUUAUAUAGUUGAACUUGCAUGAUCUGCAAAUAAGAACAUGAGUUAUGUACUUACUAGACAAAACCAUGUGAAAUGGUAUGAGAAGAAAUCUCUAGAUGAAAAAGAACAGAGCAUCAGAAGAUUCAUCAAAUUCAUACCAAAAAUGCCGGAUCAGGGGGCCGAGCACGGGGUGGCUUGCACGCGACUCUUUUCUUGAGUGACCGGCGGCGGAGCAAGAAGUUGGACUGAUGAGCUGCAGAUCUUACAGUUCUAGCCCCAGCGACCACAUUGGCAGCUGCACGAACGACGCCAAAUGAACGGGCUUUGGUGGUGGUGAUGAAUGGCCUGGUGACUGAAUUUGAACGGACUGUGAGGUUAGGCGGCAGAGGGCGACGCUGGAGCGACAAUGGCGACGUGUGGUGGAUUGGGGAGGCGCGGAGGAACGCGGCCGGCAGUGACGCGCAGCGGCCAGGUUGCCGGCGGCUGCGUGCUUUGGUCUCAGGGAGGAGCAAGGAUGACUUGCGCGAGGGCCUGCAGGCGUUGCGUGGGAGGCGGGCUGGACAUCGAUGGGGUCGUGGAGGAGAUGGGGACGAGGUGGCAGCUGGACCUAGUAGACACGGGGAUGGGGCGGUGGCCGGAGCCGGGGAGACGGGAGGGGGGCGGCGGCCGGAGCCGGGGGAGAUGGGAGCGAGGAGACGGCCUGAGCUGGGGGAGACGGGAGCGAGGCGACGGCCUGAGCCAGGGGAGAUGGGAGCGGGGAGAUAGCCGGAGCCAGGGGAGAUGGGAGCGGGGCAGCGGUCGGAGCCAGGGAGACGGGAGCGAGGGCAGCGGCCGGAGCCGGGAGUGGGGGCAGCGGCCGGAGCCGGUGGGAUGGGAGUG
rnacentral:lncRNA from 1 species